CUUUAUUGAUGAGAGUGGCAAAGAAUACAACUAGCUUUCGAGAGGCUAGUCUCUCCAAUUUACAACCUUUUCGAGAGAGCUGCUCUCUCCUCUGAGUAAGACCCUUCUUUUUCCGAGCUACCCUUGCAAAUGAACCCCCCUAUCUAUUUAUAGGUAUUGGACAUCAUAACAUGAUGCCAACUAGGAUCCUAUAGAAUUAAUACAACUCAGCUCCCCCUAAAUAAAUGUCAACUAGAUAAAAGAAGGAGAUAAAAUACAAUUGAGUAACAAACAAAACAACCCUGCCCUUAGUUAUUUUGUGGCAUCCUAUUAUAAAAAAACUUAACUAGAGGCUUAUCAAUACCUCCCCUCCCCCAAAAAAAAAAAACGUUCACGUUGUCCUUAAGGUGAAACAGUGGAAAUUGGUCUUGGAUGGUGGCAAAUGGCUCCCAUGUAGAUUCAAAAUGUGCCAGGUUCUUCAAUAUAGUGAGGACUUCUGAAUGAAGAAUGGCAGAAGCAGUUGGGAAGUGAAGGUCUAAGAUAGCCUCAGGUUUCACUUGGAGUUCUAGCUCAGUAGUCAACUGAGGUGGGAUAGCGGACGUGGCUGGUGAAGACCCGAUGGCUCUAUAGAGUUGGCAGAUGUGGAACACGGGAUGAAUGUGAGCAUGGUCUGGCAGUUGGAGUUUGUAGGCAACUGAACCAACUUGUUGGAUGAUGGGAAAAGGCCCGUAGUAAUGCGCGGACAGCUUGUCAUUGGUACGUUUGGCAAGUGGCCUUUGGCGGUAAGGUCUUAGCUUGAGACAGACCUGUUCCCCAAUGGAAAACUCAUCUAGUCGUCUUUUCACAUCAGCUUGCAUCUUCAUGUGAUGUUGAGCUCGGAGGAGAUGCAUUCAGAGUUCACCAAAAAUUGCAUCACGAGAUUCGAGCAACUCAUUGACAGAUGACACUAUGGAAGUUCCUUUCCGAUUAGGUAUGAGUGGUGGUGGAUCUCUUCCGUAAAGGGCUCAGAAUAGGGUACUCUUCAAUGAAUUAUGGUAGAAGGUAUUGUUGGAAUACUCGGCCCAAGCAAGCCAGUUAGACCAGAGUUUCAGAAUGCUGGUAAGAAAAACACUUUAAGUAUGUUUCAAGGCAGCGUUUAGUACAUCCGAUUGCCAAUCAGUUUGUGGAUGGUAGGCAGUGCUUUUCUUUAGGGUAGUUCCUUGUAGCUUAAAGAUGACUCCAAAAUAAGCUAAGGAGGAUCCGGUCCCUAUUGCAGACAAUGGAUUGGGGAACUCCAUGUAGUCUAAUGACCUCAUGAAAACUUCAGCCAUUGUGAGAGCGGUAAAAGGAUGCUUCAGCUUUAUGAAAUGGGAAUAUUUGGAAAGGCAAUCCACUACCACCAAAAUGGUAUCCCAGCCCUCCGAUUUGGGAAGGCCCUCUAUAAAUUCCAUAGUCACCGGAUUUGAGAUCCAAUUUAGAUAAGAUUGGAGCACCAUUAAGUUCAUCCAAUAACUCAUUAAUAAUGGGUAUUGGAAACUUAUUUGGAAUGGUCACUCUAUUAAGAGCGCGGUAAUCAACACAAAAUUACCAUGAGCCAUCUUUCUUUUUGAGAAGAAGAAUCGGGCUUUAAAAUGGGCUGGUACUUGGCUGAAUUAUUCCCACAGGUAAUCGCAUGCAUGAGGGAACGGGCUGGGGGAAGGCCUUCAGGCAUAUCAAACACAUCAGUAAAAUCAGCAGGAAUUUGUGUAAAAAAUUAUGGUACUUGUCGACCCGAAUCGCUGGGGUCAUGGCUGGAGUAAGUGAACUCUAGGAUGCUGCCUUGUCUCUCUACUUGAAGAGUCCUUGCCGUUGUUUUUAGGGACACCAAAGAUCGAUCAAGUGAGGGGUCCCCUUUAAUUAACACCCUUCGUUUGCCAAGUUGGAACUCCAUUGUUUGUAGCUUCCAAUCUAUGUUAGUCAUGCCAAGUGUAGCCAACCAUUAGUUCUAACCAAUGCCUAUAUAUUCAGGGAGGAUCUUUCUGUGGGGGUAGCUUGAGAUUAGAUAGAGUUUACUCUAGUGGGAGAGACCAAUCCUCUCGAAAGAUUGGGAUAGGAGAGAACAAGCCUCUCGAAAGCUUGUAAUUUGUAUCAUUGCUACCGUUUCAAUAAAGAUCUUUGAGGGAUUCUUCA